ensembl:lncRNA
UAAUGCUAUUCUCUUUCCUGGUAAUUCAAUCACACAGUACUCUAAAUAUUUCUGGGAAGGGAUUUUGCAGAUGUAAUUAAGGCCAACUCGAUUGGCCAUAAGAUAAGAGAAUAAGUGGGAGGGCCUGACCCUGGGAGGUGAGCCCUUUAAAAGCAGAGAGUUCUCCCUGGCUGCAAGCAAAAGAGGAAGUCAGAGACUCAAGCACAAGGGGCUCAUGUGCUCAGAAAUGAGGGCAGUCUUGAAGAGGUGAGAGCCAGAAGGAAAUGGGAACCUCAGCCACAAGGAACCGGACUCUGCCAACAACCCUUAGAAGUGGGUGUUUCCCCAAGGCCUCCACACAAGAGCCCAGCCCAGCUGACACCGUGAUUUGAAUGGCUGUUGACUGCCAGCAACGUGAAGUGCACCAGACGCUGUGGACGAGGAGGAGAUUCAAGGACACUAAGUCCGGGCCAGGUCCCAAGAUGCCUUUCUCUAAUCGCUCAAGAGUUAACUGCCACCUUGAAUUACCUUGGAACGUACGGGGAGGAGCUGUUCUCGUCCUUCUCUGCCCUCCAAUGUUCAUCUAUACUCUGAGUGAAACAAAACAGAACAUGUGGCCAAAGGGGAGCCCUUGCGAGAAAAAGGCAGGGAAGGAGCAGACACAAACUCAUGCCGAGCUUGGGAAUUGCAGCCCUAUGGCCUGUAUCCUGGGAAAUACAGCCUGGCUCCCUGUCGGACCCACAUGGACUCAAAUUUCCCAGUUACCAUUUAAGAGCUGCCUGAUCUUGGGCUAGUCAUUUGACCCUGCUCAGCCUCAGUGUCCUCAGCAGCAUAUCUACUUCCUUGGGUCGCCAUCAAGAUGGAAUGAGAUAUCGUGUACAAAGGGCCAGCGCGUCACAAGCCCCCCACGUGGAAGUAGAUGAUGCUACAGCCCAUGAACCCUUCUGCCCUCACAGAGCUUUCACCUGUUUGCAAGUUGACACUCUCCUCCGAAGCCUGCCUUUUCAAAAUAAGGGAGAUGUCCCACCCCUGGGGUUCUUUGUGAUUCUCAGAGCUUUCUUUUUCACCCAGUUAGGGAAAACUAACUUUUGUACCCAACAUUACAUCAAUGACAUUGCUUUAUCUAUGUAUUUGUUUUAUGGUGCUUUUGGCGUCCUCAUUAAGAAAUCUUUGCCUCUGCCAAGAUCAUGAAGAUAGUCUCCUAUGAUUUCUCCUAGAAGUUGACUUGUUUUACCUUUCACAUUUAAUUCUGCCAUCUACCUGGAACUGAUUUUUAACGACACUAUUUCAAAUACUAAUUUGGUUUUUGAAUAUAAUUUGCAUAUUAAUUUGGUAGUAUUUGUCCUAAAUUUUCUUUUUUGUUUUUAAAUAAAAAACCAGGAAUUUAGACAGUACUAAUUUUCUGGAUGGAAAAAAGAAUUUAUAAACUCUAAAAUUAUACUAUUGCCCGAUUUUAACUUUAGGAUAGUCAAAAUAUCAGAAAACAACUUUUCCAUUUUGUGAGGCCGAAUGAAAGUCAAUUUGCUGUAAGUAUUGAUUACAUACAUAGAGAAUGCUUGUAUGAGGUAAAUGAAUCAUGGUGACUACUUAAGACACUGAGACUGGUUUAAGGAAGGAGUCAUUCAUUCAAGAACAUUUUACUGAUAUUUAUAUUAUAAAUACAAACUUGCAAUAAGUAUAUUUGUAUAAAAUAUUUAUACUUGUCAGCUAUGCUAUAUUCAUUAUAUUUAUUUGCACAUGUUUAUGUAUUUAUCCAUAUGUAUUAUAUUAAAUUCAUUUAUAUUGUUGUGCCU